rnacentral:tRNA from 15 species
GCCCAGGUAGCUCAGUUGGUAGAGCAGCGGACUGAAAAUCCGCGUGUCGGUGGUUCAAUUCCGCCCCUGGGCACCA